rnacentral:rRNA from 1 species
AGACCCGAAACCCGGUGAUCUAGCCAUGGGCAGGUUGAAGGUUGGGUAACACUAACUGGAGGACCGAACCGACUAAUGUUGAAAAAUUAGCGGAUGACCUGUGGCUGGGGGUGAAAGGCCAAUCAAACCGGGAGAUAGCUGGUUCUCCCCGAAAGCUAUUUAGGUAGCGCCUCGUGAAUUCAUCUCCGGGGGUAGAGCACUGUUUCGGCUAGGGGGCCAUCCCGGCUUACCAACCCGAUGCAAACUGCGAAUACCGGAGAAUGUUAUCACGGGAGACACACGGCGGGUGCUAACGUCCGUCGUGAAGAGGGAAACAACCCAGACCGCCAGCUAAGGUCCCAAAGUCAUGGUUAAGUGGGAAACGAUGUGGGAAGGCCCAGACAGCCAGGAUGUUGGCUUAGAAGCAGCCAUCAUUUAAAGAAAGCGUAAUAGCUCACUGGUCGAGUCGGCCUGCGCGGAAGAUGUAACGGGGCUAAACCAUGCACCGAAGCUGCGGCAGCGACGCUGAUGCGUUGUUGGGUAGGGGAGCGUUCUGUAAGCCUGUGAAGGUGGCCUGUGAGGGUUGCUGGAGGUAUCAGAAGUGCGAAUGCUGACAUAAGUAACGAUAAAGCGGGUGAAAAGCCCGCUCGCCGGAAGACCAAGGGUUCCUGUCCAACGUUAAUCGGGGCAGGGUGAGUCGACCCCUAAGGCGAGGCCGAAAGGCGUAGUCGAUGGGAAACGGGUUAAUAUUCCCGUACUUGGUGUUACUGCGAAGGGGGGACGGAGAAGGCUAUGUUGGCCGGGCGACGGUUGUCCCGGUUUAAGCGUGUAGGUGUGUGUUCCAGGUAAAUCCGGUUCACUUUAACACUGAGGCGUGAUGACGAGGCACUACGGUGCUGAAGCAACAAAUGCCCUGCUUCCAGGAAAAGCCUCUAAGCAUCAGGUAACAUCAAAUCGUACCCCAAACCGACACAGGUGGUCAGGUAGAGAAUACCAAGGCGCUUGAGAGAACUCGGGUGAAGGAACUAGGCAAAAUGGUGCCGUAACUUCGGGAGAAGGCACGCUGACACGUAGGUGAAGUGAUUUACUCAUGGAGCUGAAGUCAGUCGAAGAUACCAGCUGGCUGCAACUGUUUAUUAAAAACACAGCACUGUGCAAACACGAAAGUGGACGUAUACGGUGUGACGCCUGCCCGGUGCCGGAAGGUUAAUUGAUGGGGUCAGCGCAAGCGAAGCUCCUGAUCGAAGCCCCGGUAAACGGCGGCCGUAACUAUAACGGUCCUAAGGUAGCGAAAUUCCUUGUCGGGUAAGUUCCGACCUGCACGAAUGGCGUAAUGAUGGCCAGGCUGUCUCCACCCGAGACUCAGUGAAAUUGAACUCGCUGUGAAGAUGCAGUGUACCCGCGGCAAGACGGAAAGACCCCGUGAACCUUUACUAUAGCUUGACACUGAACAUUGAGCCUUGAUGUGUAGGAUAGGUGGGAGGCUUUGAAGUGUGGACGCCAGUCUGCAUGGAGCCGACCUUGAAAUACCACCCUUUAAUGUUUGAUGUUCUAACGUGGACCCGUAAUCCGGGUUGCGGACAGUGUCUGGUGGGUAGUUUGACUGGGGCGGUCUCCUCCUAAAGAGUAACGGAGGAGCACGAAGGUUGGCUAAUCCUGGUCGGACAUCAGGAGGUUAGUGCAAUGGCAUAAGCCAGCUUGACUGCGAGCGUGACGGCGCGAGCAGGUGCGAAAGCAGGUCAUAGUGAUCCGGUGGUUCUGAAUGGAAGGGCCAUCGCUCAACGGAUAAAAGGUACUCCGGGGAUAACAGGCUGAUACCGCCCAAGAGUUCAUAUCGACGGCGGUGUUUGGCACCUCGAUGUCGGCUCAUCACAUCCUGGGGCUGAAGUAGGUCCCAAGGGUAUGGCUGUUCGCCAUUUAAAGUGGUACGCGAGCUGGGUUUAGAACGUCGUGAGACAGUUCGGUCCCUAUCUGCCGUGGGCGCUGGAGAACUGAGGGGGGCUGCUCCUAGUACGAGAGGACCGGAGUGGACGCAUCACUGGUGUUCGGGUUGUCAUGCCAAUGGCACUGCCCGGUAGCUAAAUGCGGAAGAGAUAAGUGCUGAAAGCAUCUAAGCACGAAACUUGCCCCGAG